rnacentral:rRNA from 1 species
UACGUAGGGUGCAAGCGUUGUCCGGAAUUAUUGGGCGUAAAGAGCUCGUAGGCGGUCUGUCGCGUCUGCUGUGAAAACUCAGGGCUUAACCCUGAGCUUGCAGUGGGUACGGGCAGACUAGAGUGCGGUAGGGGAGACUGGAAUUCCUGGUGUAGCGGUGAAAUGCGCAGAUAUCAGGAAGAACACCCGUGGCGAAGGCGGUUCUCUGGGACGGUACUGACGCUGGAGACGGCGAAAGCGUGGGGAGCGAACAGG